GGCUGCUGCAGACACCUGAGCAGCAUCACAGGUACCAGGGCCCUGCAGCCUCGCUGCCUAGCAACCCCACACGGACGUCACCGAGGAGCCUCGGUAGCCGCGACCGGGGGCCUGGCCUCGCAGGGGAGGCGAAGUGGACUUGACUCAACUGCUCCAGGUCGCUGCGGAGGUCUCCGGCCCCGGACGGUGCUCACGAAGUCGGCUUCCCCACCUCGCUGGCUGUGGCCCCAGGAAAGCGAAGGGGUCUCCUCCUGGGAACCUCACAGUGCGCUGCAGAAAGUCAGCAGGCCCGUGCUUACUGCUAGGAGGAGGAGGAGUGCUGGACAAGUGGCUGAGGCAGUGUCACAGGCUCCCAUUCAGCAGGCACUACCGGGCUCUGCGGAUGGGAAACACCAGAUGGGCCUGGAAACUGAAAAGAGGCGGGGACCUUGCCCAAGCACCAGUCACCACUGCCCCAGCAGCUACAGCGCACCCGGAUGGAGAGGCACAGACGGCUUCCUCUUCCCAGGCCUCCGGGAGCGCAGCCCUCAGGAGGGGUGGCCAUGGUCCUAUCCCCAGCACCCCAACCGGCUCCUGCUGCCUGGCUUCUCCCCUCCUCUCUCCAUCACUGGCUCCACUCAGCUCUUAUCUGCUCGGGGUUGGCAGGAGGAGCAGGCUGAUGUGGUUUGGCCUGCAGAGACCAGGUCGGAGUCCAGAGGGCCUGGCGUGACUCCAAACAGACUCAGCAGCCCGUUAGGUCCCAACCGUCAAGGCUGACCCGGGACUUGAGAGGCCCUGAUGCCCCUGUGUGCCGCCCACCUACCGCUCUCCCUCUGUCCUCGGGGGACACAGCCCCAGGCCCAGGGGACCCCUGAAACUGCAGACACCCCCAAGCCCUCUAGGUAUGGUUCUCCUGGAGAUUCGCACCCAUGACGGGGUUUAAUUUACAAAUUAGGCAUAGUGAGAGGUUAACGACAAUAACAACCAAAUAGACUGACUUUAACAACAUUGUAAUAAAAGUUGUUUAAAACUUAUAAAUCAUUUAUUUCUGGAAUUUUCCAUCUGAUAUU
rnacentral:lncRNA from 1 species